GCCCGUGUAGCUCAGUUCGGUAGAGCACUUGCAUGGUAAGCAAGAGGUCACCGGUUCAAUCCCGGUCGCGGGCU
rnacentral:tRNA from 1 species